GUGACCCCAGGUCAGGUGGGACUACCCGCUGAGUUUAAGCAUAUCA
rnacentral:rRNA from 1 species